rnacentral:lncRNA from 1 species
CUGCCACAUCGCUGUUCACCAUCUAGCAAGGGUAGAAUCAGCACAAGGGGACACAUUCUAGAGGAAUGGGCAUCAAAAGUGAGCCUCAUACACCUGUGUUCAUAGCUUUAUUCACAGCAGACAAAAGGAGAAAGUAACCCAAGUGUCCAUUGAUGGAUAAACGGAUAAACAAAAUGUAGUACAUACUUGCAAUAGAAUAUUAUUCAGCCAUUAAAAGGAAGGAAAUUCUGAUGCUAUAAUAUGGAUGAAUCUUGAGGACAUUAUGCCAGGUGAAAUGUUAGCUACAAAAAGACAAAUACUGUUUGAUUCCAUUUACAUGAGGUUCUAGAAGAGUCAAAUUCAUAGAGACAGAAAUAGAAUGGUGGUUGCCAGGGGCUGAGGAAAGCGGGGGACAGGGAGACGUUGUUCAAUGGGUACAGAGCGUCAGUUUUGCAAGACGAAAAGAGUUCUGUAGAUGGGUGAUGGCGAUGGUAGCACAGCAAUGUGAAUGUACUGAAUGCCACAGACUUAUGAAGCCCUGGGUGAGAGGACUACCAAUCACAGCCAGCUGCAAGAUUCCAGACUGGGUCAGAAGGAGAAGCCUAUUGAAUGGAGGCCUUAGUGGAAGAACCCAUCUUUAUCAAGAAAUAUACUUUCCUAGUUGCUUUGGGGUGGAGAAGAUGAGAUCCCAAACCUACCUUGUAAGGAGAACAAGAAAUAAAGAGAGAGGUAAACUUUGCUCCAGAAGAAAUGGUCCAGAAUAUUGAAGGUAGGCAAAGACAGGGGAGAAAGAGGACUAGAUCUGGUGGGAAACUGGAUUAAUCCGAAGCCUGUAGAUUAAGGGCACCAGUGAGAAGUUUCCUGUCGUGGAAUGGCCAAGAAGUUUUAAGACAGGGUGUCAAAUCUACCCCUUCGAUGUUUUUGUAUUUAAGACAUGUAAACAUCUUCCAUAUCUUCAAUCUUUAAUAAAGUCUGACACACAUCUUGGUGUACAGAAAAGAAGGAAACAGGCUGAGUACCAUAGCAUGGAUCUGACAAAGAGGAUCGUGGUGGGAGAUGAAAGGGCAUGAGGAACAGAAACCUAGACCUAGAAAUAAGAAGAUAACAAGCACUCCCAACCAGGUAUUUACAGAAAUUUUAGGGAGAACACUGACUUUUGCACAGGACGUGGGAUAGACGUCUUCAGGCAAUUCAUCUAAAACCCCAGAUUUCCAAAGUCCUCUACCUGUGCCUCUGUUGCCUGACUUGGACACCAGACUGUAUGUUCACAUACCUGUGGACUCACAGAUGUUAGCUCUUUGAGGACAGGGUCAUGUUGUAUUCAUCCCUGUGCCUGGCACAAUGCCUGCC